UUUCCCUCCAAUGAUAUGUUGCUUCUAUAAUUAGAGCUCUUCUUUUGAUGCCUCCAAGCCUAAUUUUCUUUUGUAUCUUUGUGUUUGUUUUCAUUAGGUUUCCAUGGAAAUCCUGGACUUGUAAUUGAUUUCUUUAAAGUUCAGCAGCUCUGCAAGUGGAUGUGAAGCAUUCAAGUUAGGAUAGCUUCCACUACACUAUACAAUGCUACCCUCUAGUUCUUUUACAGUACAAUAGCACCUUCCUUUAAAUCUCUGUGUAGGUAAAACAGACUAAAAACAUGUCUAGUACAUCCAGAUCAACUUUUUUUGCAUGCAUGUUCUGACUGUUGGGUCAGAGGAGAAGGAGCAAAAAAAUCACCUUACUUUGGUGCACUUACUUUUGGAAGAAACAGGGAUUUACAGAGGAUUUGUCAUCAAAAUUAGAACAAGAGCUGUUGAAAAUACUUGCUGCUGUGAGAAGAUGGCAUUUGCUGCUUGUCUUUUGCUGCUGUUAGCUGUCUGGGGUAAAACACUGAACACUGCUCAAAUUCAGCCCUGGUAUUUUGGGUGCUGAGCUGAACUGGUUAUGUUGCCUCCUGCCUGAUAAGCAUUCAGCUCUCAGAUCUAAAUCAGGAAUAGCAAAAGUAACUAAAAUAACCCACAGACAAAGGCACAUUUUUAUCCAGUUACAAAGUGUUUAACUUGAAAAUACAGUACACUGUUGACCUAACUAACUACCCAUAUGGGAGUGAGUUGUUAAGACAGUGAUUUUCAACUGUGAGACAUGAUUGAUAUCCAGAUAUUUCAGAGUAUUUCAUAUAGCAUUCAUUUAGCAUAUUUCAUUUCUCCUUUUGUACUUCAGUUUUUGAAAGCUAUGAUUGAAAUCACCCUGUACCCUUGGCCAAGUUUCCCUGAAAACAAGAUUGUCACCGAUUCUUUCACCUGUUUGUCUCACUGCUCUGGACACACCAACAUGGUGCAGAUGCUGUGUGACAUGCUGGGACCCUCUCUGUUGUCAUACAAAGCAUUUAAACUUCAGUGGUCACCCCCUACCACAAGCACUGAAGACAUUUCUUGCUCAAAUUAUUUCAUCACAACAAUGGUGAAACACAGUCUUACCACC
rnacentral:lncRNA from 1 species